UGGUGGUAUCAGCAGACACGCUACGUGUUAGGUCACCGGCCGGCGGCUCGUGUAAUUGCGCACCGUGCCAUAGCUCCCAUGAGUCGCUGUCGACCCGAGCUGCGUGUGCCUCGAUCAAGACCUGAAAAGAAUGGAGUUGGAUUAUUGCUAGACCACCUGCAAUCGUAUUCUUUCUGCUGAUACUCUUGGCCAUUAAGCAUUCGGCCCGGUUUUCCGUUAGUUGAGUCUCUGAUUUUUAAGCAAGAUGAUUAAAUCUUAAUUGACGCAUCACAGCCGUUGAAUGAAAAUUUAGGUGUCAUAGGUAAUUUGCCUGCAGUCUUCUACCUCAAAAAAAGAAAAAUUAGGUGUCAUCUCCUCUCUCUCCUGCGUGAUGUCAUUGAUUAAGAUUUAACGACCAAACACAUCGACUGAUCUCUAAUUUAAAAAUAAGUGAUUUCUCAGCGGCAAAACCGUAAUACAAAAUCACGUUGUUGCAUUAACAAGGCACAUACAUAUGGCAAAAACAAUUAAAAAGGUAAAGGAAUAGCAAUAAUUGUUUUUAUUAGUGAUAAAUAAUCAGCUAAAUCAAUACCAAUAAUCGUGUGUUGAUCUGAUUCACCUCAGAAGGAAGUUCCUUUUGAAUCGUUGGAGUGUGAAGUCUCUUCUCACGCUUCACGGUUACCGGCACUAAUGUUCGUCUCGUGAUGAGAAUGUAUAAAUUUUUUUACCUAAGGUGAGUUUCCUCUUCUGGCCAGGGGCGGAUCUGUUCAGGCGUACCAUCAGGGUAAGGGUAGAAGAAAAUUUUCAUGCUAAUUAUGGGUUUAAUAAGGCUACUGCAUCAGGUUAAACUAAAUAAAACUUGUGCAAUCUUCAAAAGAUGCAUCAGGAAGACAUUUGUUCCAGCUCCGCCCAUGCUUCUGGAGUUAUAUAUUUUUGUUUUUACUGAGAAAAAUAAAAUAAGAGAUCCUAGUCUGAAUUAAGGGACACCUAGUCAUAGGUCAUAACCGGACCACCUUCACGGCCUCACCCAAGGGAGAUGAUGCUUUCCUCGUACAUUGCGGCGUCCGUUGGGCUCAUGAAGUAGUCAGACACCAAGCUGUUGCCAUAGUAGCUGUCCUCAACAUCACCGGUGGCCGGGUCGUAUGCGUAUUAAAACGCGAGGGAUGU
rnacentral:lncRNA from 1 species